rnacentral:rRNA from 1 species
UACGUAGGGUGCGAGCGUUGUCCGGAAUUAUUGGGCGUAAAGAGCUUGUAGGUGGCUCGUCGCGUCGGGAGUGAAAACCCGCGGCUUAACCGCGGGCCUGCUUUCGAUACGGGCGGGCUAGAGUUCGGCAGGGGAGAUUGGAAUUCCUGGUGUAGCGGUGGAAUGCGCAGAUAUCAGGAGGAACACCGGUGGCGAAGGCGGGUCUCUGGGCCGAUACUGACACUGAGAAGCGAAAGCAUGGGGAGCGAACAGG